UUCCUGGUGGCUUAGAGGGUAAAGCAUCUGCCUGCAAUGCAGGAGACCUGGGUUCGAUUCCUGGGUUGGGAA
rnacentral:tRNA from 1 species